UCCCUGGUGGUUCAGUGGGUUAAGAAUCCAGCGUUGUCACUGCUGUGGCUCAGGUUUAAUCCCUGGCCCAGGAA
rnacentral:tRNA from 1 species